GACGAACGCUGGCGGCGUGCUUACCACAUGCAAGUCGAACGAUGAAGCUCAGCUUGCUGGGUGGAUUAGUGGCGAACGGGUGAGUAACACGUGAGUAACCUGCCCUUGACUCUGGGAUAAGCGCUGGAAACGGCGUCUAAUACCGGAUACGACCUGCCCCGGCAUCGGGUGCGGGUGGAAAGUUUUUCGGUCAAGGAUGGACUCGCGGCCUAUCAGGUAGUUGGUGAGGUAAUGGCUCACCAAGCCGACGACGGGUAGCCGGCCUGAGAGGGUGACCGGCCACACUGGGACUGAGACACGGCCCAG
rnacentral:rRNA from 1 species